rnacentral:misc_RNA from 1 species
GAUGAAGAACGCAGCGAAAUGCGAUACGUAAUGUGAAUUGCAGAAUUCAGUGAAUCAUCGAAUCUUUGAACGCAUAUUGCGCUCUUUGGUAUUCCGAAGAGCAUGCUUGUUUGAGUAUCAGUAAACACCUCAAAGACUUCAAUUUGUUUUGAAUGGCUUUGGACUUGAGCAAUCCCAACACCAGUCUUUACGAUCGGUGGAGGGUUGCUUGAAAUGCAGGUGCAGCUGGACAUUCUCCUGAGCUAAUAGCAUAUUUAUUUAGUCCCGUCAACCGGAUUAUUACUUUUGCUGCAGCUAACAUAAAGGGAGUUUGACCGUAUUGGCUGACUGAUGCAGGAUUUCACAAGGGUCGGCAACGAUUCUUGUAAAACUCGAUCUCAAAUCAAGUAAGACUACCCGCUGAACUUAAGCAUAUCAAUAAGCGGAGGA